rnacentral:rRNA from 1 species
CGGGCCCUAAAGGCAGCGGCGGCACCGCGUCCGGUCCUGGAGCGUAUGGGGCUCUGUCACCCGCUCUUGGAGGCCCGGCCGGCGCCCGCCGACCCCCCAAUCUUCUUCUAGGUUGAUCUCGGAUCAGGUAGGGAUACCCGCUGAACUUAAGCAUAUCAAUAAGCGGAGGAAAAGAAACCAACAGGGAUUGCCCUAGUAACGGCGAGUGAAGCGGCAAGAGCUCAAAUUUGAAAGCUGGCCCCCUCGGGGUCCGCGUUGUAAUUUGCAGAGGAUGCUUCGGGAGCGGCCCCCGUCUAAGUGCCCUGGAACGGGCCGUCAUAGAGGGUGAGAAUCCCGUAUGGGAUGGGGUGCCCGCGCCCGUGUGAAGCUCCUUCGACGAGUCGAGUUGUUUGGGAAUGCAGCUCUAAAUGGGUGGUAAAUUUCAUCUAAAGCUAAAUAUUGGCCGGAGACCGAUAGCGCACAAGUAGAGUGAUCGAAAGAUGAAAAGCACUUUGAAAAGAGAGUUAAACAGCACGUGAAAUUGUUGAAAGGGAAGCGCUUGCGACCAGACUCGCCCGCGGGGUUCAGCCGGCACUCGUGCCGGUGUACUUCCCCGCGGGCGGGCCAGCGUCGGUUUGGGCGGCCGGUCAAAGGCCCCUGGAAGGUAACGCCCCCCCGGGGGCGUCUUAUAGCCAGGGGUGCCAUGCGGCCUGCCCGGACCGA